AUCAGAUUGUUCCAGGGAAAUCUCAUAGGCUUAAUAAAUUUCAAACAGGCAAGGACAGGCUUAUAGGACUGAGGUUCCUUAAAAGGAAAACUUUGAAGAAAGUAAUACAGCAAUAAACAAAAUAAGGAAGCACAAACCUUGGAGUCAGCCAUUCUAGCCUUCAGCAACAGAGAUAUUCACAAGAAUACUUGGAUCGCUAUAUACUGAUCACUCCCCACGAGCAGGUUUGUGGAAACAGGACUGGCACUCUGGUUAGGUUUCCUCUCUACAGAUGUCCCCGCCACCCAACCACUCUGUCCUAUAGAGGGACUGGAAAGCUGUGGCGGCUCACCCUAAAUCGCCACGACUCUCUACAACAAGGAGCAAAGAAAAGUUCUUCACAGCAUCACACCAGGAAAGGCAGCCUCUUUAGGCAAAGACCCGCGGCCUCGGUGCUCCCCACCCCACCCCUCGUGCACCGCCACCGGCUCUCCCGCAGCUCUGGAGCGCUGUUUACCUAAUUUCAGCGGCAGACCCAGCAAAGGAGAAUGCAAAACGACGGUAGCGGUUACACAGCGGCGUCCCCGGCGAAGAAGUAAAACACGUUUGCACUGGAGCUUCUGGAUAAGUUAACUGCGAAGCCGGGGUCCUGCUGGCUUAUCUCCGCGGGGAUGAGUCUCACCCUGCACGUUUGCAGGGAUAGGAGAUCGUUAUCUGGUUUUGAUGUCACUACCGUGUCGGAGAAGAACAUUAGAUGAUAAAAUAUUAUCUAAUAUCCUAGAGACCAUUAAAGUGUCAAAGUUUAAUGUCAA